AUUGAACGCUGGCGGCAGGCUUAACACAUGCAAGUCGAGCGAGCGGCGGACGGGUGAGUAAUGUCUGUGAAACUGCCUGCUGGAGGGGGAUAACUACUGUAAACGGUAGUUAAUACCGCAUACCAUCAGAUGUGCCCAGAGGGGAUUCGCUAGUAGUUGGGGUAAUGGCUCACCUAGGCGACGAUCCCUAGCUGGUCUGAGAGGAUGACCAGCCACACUGGAACUGAGACACGGUCCAGACUCCUACGGGAGGCAGCAGUGGGGAAUAUUGCACAAUGGGGGAAAGCCUGAUGCAGCCAUGCCGCGUGUGUGAAGAAGGCCUUCGGGUUGUAAAGCACUUUCAGCGAGGAGGCGUUACUCGCAGAAGAAGCACCGGCUAACUCCGUGCCAGCAGCCGCGGUAAUUC
rnacentral:rRNA from 1 species